rnacentral:rRNA from 1 species
GCUCCAGACUCCUACGGGAGGCAGCAGUGGGGGAUAUUGCACAAUGGGGGGAACCCUGAUGCAGCGACGCCGCGUGAGGGAAGACGGUUUUCGGAUUGUAAACCUCUGUCUUUAGGGACGAAACAAAUGACGGUACCUAAAGAGGAAGCCACGGCUAACUACGUGCCAGCAGCCGCGGUCAUACGUAGGAUCCGAGCAUUAUCCGGAGUGACUGGGUGUAAAGAGUUGCGUAGGUGGCAUAGUAAGUAGCUAGUGAAAUCUGGUGGCUCAACCAUUCAGACUAUUAGCUAAACUGCUAAGCUCGAGACCGUUAGGGGUAACUGGAAUUUCUAGUGUAGGAGUGAAAUCCGUAGAUAUUAGAAGGAACACCGAUAGCGUAGGCAGGUUACUGGGACGGUUCUGACACUAAGGCACGAAAGCGUAGGGAGCAAACGGGAUUAGAUACCCCUGUAA